GGUAGAGGUAGCUCAGGGGGUAGAGGAGUUGUCCAGCAACCAGAGGGCUGUCGGUUCGACCCCGACUGUCUUUACCC
rnacentral:tRNA from 1 species